GAUGAACGCUGGCGGCGUGCCUAAUACAUGCAAGUCGAGCGAACAGAUGAGGAGCUUGCUCCUCUGACGUUAGCGGCGGACGGGUGAGUAACACGUGGAUAACCUACCUAUAAGACUGGGAUAACUUCGGGAAACCGGAGCUAAUACCGGAUAAUAUAUUGAACCGCAUGGUUCAAUAGUGAAAGACGGUUUUGCUGUCACUUAUAGAUGGAUCCGCGCCGCAUUAGCUAGUUGGUCAGGUAACGGCUUACCAAGGCAACGAUGCGUAGCCGACCUGAGAGGGUGAUCGGCCACACUGGAACUGAGACACGGUCCAGACUCCUACGGGAGGCAGCAGUAGGGAAUCUUCCGCAAUGGGCGAAAGCCUGACGGAGCAACGCCGCGUGAGUGAUGAAGGUCUUCGGAUCGUAAAACUCUGUUAUUAGGGAAGAACAAAUGUGUAAGUAACUGUGCACGUCUUGACGGUACCUAAUCAGAAAGCCACGGCUAACUACGUG
rnacentral:rRNA from 1 species